rnacentral:lncRNA from 1 species
CGCAGAGUGGGCGGAGUCUCGCAGGCCCCGCCCACCGCCGGGUAAUCGUCGGUUCGUCUGAACCGAACUGCAGUGCAGAGCCGGAAUGGGGGGCUUGGCCCCAGUCCAGCACAGUCAAAAUUAGCUCUCUGUUGAAUUACAUGCAGUCAGCCAGUGGAAGCGCCUGAGAUCCUGACGCCCCAGUCCCGCAGCCUUGUACGGGGGUCCAAACCCCGCAAGGCUGCCGCUCGGGUCCGCUUUCGUCCAAGAACGCCUUUUCCAACAGCAACUUUACAGCAAAGGACAAGAACAAAGACUUUAUCUCUUGUUUCUUCAAAAUGACACCAACAGGAGCAAUGGGGGAUCCCAUUAGAGCUCACAGCGGUGUUCCUGAACCUGGUGGCGCGGAGAGGAACGACCACGAAAGAUCGACAUCCCAUCUGUCGGAUGCAGGAUAGAGAACGGUCCUCUGGGGAAAUUGUAUCCUCAUGUUUAUUCUUUUUUAUUUCCUAAAUCAUGUAUAUCCUUAUUUUUUAUGGUUAUGGCGUGCGGUACAGAUGAAUUAUGACGCUGGGGCUAUUUCCCCAUCUAUGUGAUUAAUAGCAUUUUAGAAAAACCUG